GUGGGGAAUAUUGCGCAAUGGCCGCAAGGCUGACGCAGCGACGCCGCGUGUGGGAUGAAGGCCCUCGGGUUGUAAACCACUGUCAGGGGGGACGAAUACCCGGCUUCGAAUAGGAGACCGGGGGUGACGGUACCCCCAGAGGAAGCACCGGCUAACUCCGUGCCAGCAGCCGCGGUAAGACGGGGGGUGCGAGCGUUGUCCGGAAUUACUGGGCGUAAAGCGCGCGUAGGCGGCUAUCUAAGUCACCUGUGAAAUUCCGGAGCUCAACUCCGCGGGUGCAUGUGAUACUAGGUGGCUAGAGCACGGUAGAGGCGAGUGGAAUUCCCGGUGUAGCGGUGGAAUGCGUAGAUAUCGGGAAGAACACCUGUGGCGAAGGCGGCUCGCUGGGCCGAUGCUGACGCUGAGGUGCGAAAGCGUGGGGAGCAAACAGG
rnacentral:rRNA from 1 species